rnacentral:tRNA from 1 species
GUCAGGAUGGCCGAGGCGGUCUAAGGCGCCGCGUUCAGGUUCGCAGUCUCCCCUGGGGCGUGGGUUCAAAUCCCAUUUCUGACA